rfam:Parcubacteria bacterium GW2011_GWA1_36_12 TR98_C0002, whole genome shotgun sequence.
GCCCCCAUAGCUUAAUUGGUAAAGCAGGAACCUCUUAAGUUCAAGAGUCCAGGUUCGAGCCCUGGUGGGGGCA